UGAUGUGUUUGUUCUAAGUGGAGCAUCCCCCGUCUCUCAAUGACACCUUUCAUCUAUCCUGUCUCACAUUUCAGUUCCAGGCUCAGACUAUAAAAAAGGACUCUGACUAAUUCCCUAACUAGAGAGAAAAUGAAGAGAUACCCUGUUGUAAAAUCUAUCUAUAAGUCCUCCUUCCUGGGGGAAGAGAAUCUUCUUCAGAAAAAAGCAGAGAAAUCCUGGCCUGCCAAGGGAUCAAGAUGGGAGGCAGAGGGAAUCCUGCCCUCUCACUCUUUGGGCAAUAAGCUCUGCCUCUCCCUGCCUCGUGCUUCUGAGCCCUGCCUCUGUGGGUGCAGCCUUAGAACAAAGGUAGUACUGCACCCACGGCUCCCACCAGUCUCCCGCCCCAUCUCUCAGAUGCUCCCCAAAGUGUCAUCAGGGAGGAAGCACCAGUCUUCUCCAGUGAUUGUCUUUAGGGCUCAAUUCUCCCGCAGCUCUCCAAAGCCCAAGGCGAAGACCAAGUCCCAGUUGCUAUCUUGGAGCAAGUCAAGAGUUUCUUGCAAUGCCAUGGCAUUACGCAAGCCAGUAUCUAUGGGCGUGUGGCCACAGCGAUUUCUUAAUCCAUUAUCUAAGACCUUUUCAGAGGAAUCCCUGCACACCAACAUCUCACUGGGAGGAGUCAGUGAGUCCUCCAGGCAGAGAGCCAAAUAUCCAAUGAUAUCACUUGUGGAGCAGGACAAAUUCUAGUCCUUUCUGCAAAUCUUAUUUAAAUAAAAAUAAAUUUAGUCAA